rnacentral:pre_miRNA from 1 species
CUACCUGCUUGAGAGACAUACUUCUUUAUAUGCCCAUAUGAACCUGGCAAGCUAUGGAAUGUAAAGAAGUAUGUAUUUCAGGUGGGGAUCA